AGUGAACGCUGGCGGUAGGCCUAACACAUGCAAGUCGAACGGCAGCACAGUAAGAGCUUGCUCUUACGGGUGGCGAGUGGCGGACGGGUGAGGAAUACAUCGGAAUCUACUUUUUCGUGGGGGAUAACGUAGGGAAACUUACGCUAAUACCGCAUACGACCUACGGGUGAAGGCAGGGGAUCUUCGGACCUUGCGCGAUUGAAUGAGCCGAUGUCGGAUUAGCUAGUUGGCGGGGUAAAGGCCCACCAAGGCGACGAUCCGUAGCUGGUCUGAGAGGAUGAUCAGCCACACUGGAACUGAGACACGGUCCAGACUCCUACGGGAGGCAGCAGUGGGGAAUAUUGGACAAUGGGCGCAAGCCUGAUCCAGCCAUACCGCGUGGGUGAAGAAGGCCUUCGGGUUGUAAAGCCCUUUUGUUGGGAAAGAAAAGCAGCAGGUUAAUACCCCGCUGUUCUGACGGUACCCAAAGAAUAAGCACCGGCUAACCUCGUG
rnacentral:rRNA from 1 species